rnacentral:lncRNA from 1 species
GAGCCCCAGGCUGGGUCAUGGAGCUCACACUAGGCCUGAACGUGUGCUGCACAUCUUGGCCAGAACAGUGGCUCGUGGGACUGGAUGGAACCCACUGACAGCUGGAGGCUGGAGGCAGCUCUUGGGACACUUCCCUGGCUUGGGCAGGCGUGGGAAGCCAGCACCCUGGGGUAUCAGCCAGGCCUCUGGCCAUAAGCAGCAGAUGGCUCUGAGAGGUGGGUGCCCUUCCCACAGCCCCCGGGGCUGCUCGCUGGAGCAGAGGGGUUCCUCCCUGGGAUGUCACUCUCCUAAGAUGACGAGAUGGAGGCUGAGAGACUGAGAGGCAGUGAGCAUCUAUCUACUGCCUGGCCCUUGCCCCUCACCCCCCAGUCUCCUAGGACUAAGAUGGGGCUAGGCCUGUGCUGCUGCAGAAACGGACGCUUCAACCGGCCUGCCAUGGCUCCCAUUUCCCGACUGUCCCGGUGGAGACGGGCACCUGGCGGCCACACACUCAGUGUCACAGCAGCCUUCGCCUCUGCGGGGACACCGGCUCAUUGGCCUCCUGAGGCUGUGCGUGGACACUGGGCCCCUCGAGCCAGGCGGGGACACUUCUACCUGGCUAGUUAAUGCCACUCGGUGUUAGAAGCUUGAGGCAAUGUUGCCAUCAUUUUAAG